rnacentral:rRNA from 1 species
GAUGAACGCUGGCGGCGUGCCUAAUACAUGCAAGUCGAGCGAAUGGAUUAAGAGCUUGCUCUUAUGAAGUUAGCGGCGGACGGGUGAGUAACACGUGGGUAACCUACCCAUAAGACUGGGAUAACUCCGGGAAACCGGGGCUAAUACCGGAUAAUAUUUUGAACUGCAUGGUUCAAAAUUGAAAGGCGGCUUCGGCUGUCACUUAUGUAUGGACCCGCGUCGCAUUAGCUAGUUGGUGAGGUAACGGCUCACCAAGGCAACGAUGCGUAGCCGACCUGAGAGGGUGACCGGCCACACUGGGACUGAGACACGGCCCAGACUCCUACGGGAGGCAGCAGUAGGGAAUCUUCCGCAAUGGACGAAAGUCUGACGGAGCAACGCCGCGUGAGUGAUGAAGGCUUUCGGGUCGUAAAACUCUGUUGUUAGGGAAGAACAAGUGCUAGUUGAAUAAGCUGGCACCUUGACGGUACCUAACCAGAAAGCCACGGCUAACUACGUGCCAGCCGCCGCCGUAA